rnacentral:rRNA from 1 species
UACGGGGGGGGGGCAAGCGUUUGUUCGGAAUUACUGGGCGUAAAGGGCUCGUAGGCGCCUGUUAAGUCGAACGUGAAAUCCCCAAGCUUAACUUGGGAACUGCGUCCGAUACUGGCAGGCUUGAAUUCGGGAGAGGGAUGUGGAAUUCCAGGUGUAGCGGUGAAAUGCGUAGAUAUCUGGAGGAACACCGGUGGCGAAGGCGGCA